rnacentral:misc_RNA from 1 species
UACGAAGGGUGCAAGCGUUAAUCGGAAUUACUGGGCGUAAAGGGCGCGUAGGUGGCUCGAUAAGCCGGUUGUGAAAGACCCGGGCUCAACCUGGGGACGGCAUCCGGAACUGUCAAGCUAGAGUACAGGAGAGGAAGGUAGAAUUCCCGGUGUAGCGGUGAAAUGCGUAGAGAUCGGGAGGAAUACCAGUGGCGAAGGCGGCCUUCUGGACUGUCACUGACGCUGAGGUGCGAAAGCGUGGGUAGCAAACAGG